rnacentral:misc_RNA from 1 species
GUUCACUCACCCUGGAGGUCACUUUAAAUUUUGGCUUUUGUACAAUGGAUUUGUUGAAGGGAAGGCUGCAAAUGAUGUUCACCCAUCCUGGAGGUCACUUCAAAUUUUGGCUUUACCUUUUUCUCCUGAGUUGUUAAUUUGGAGGCAACUUAUUUAUAGAUAGAUUGGAGUCUACUUCUUACUUAGUAUUUGUAGAUACUCUCUUGACUUAUGUGGUGAUCAUUGUGACAUGAUAUUGGUG